rnacentral:rRNA from 1 species
GCAGUGGUGCGACGAACCAGGGCUUGCCCUGGGGCCAAGCCGCGAACGGGUGAGUAACACGUGAGUAACCUGCCCCGAUGACCGGGACAACCCGAGGAUACUCGGGCUAAUACCGGAUGUGGCGCACAGGUCUAAGCCUGUGCGCUAAAGGAAGCUUCGGCCUCCGCAUUGGGAGGGGCUCGCGGCCCAUUAGCUUGUUGGUGGGGUAACGGCCUACCAAGGCAACGAUGGGUAGCUGGUCUGAGAGGACGAUCAGCCACACUGGGACUGAGACACGGCCCAGACUCCUACGGGAGGCAGCAGUGGGGAAUCUUGCGCAAUGCGCGAAAGCGUGACGCAGCAACGCCGCGUGGGGGAAGACGGCCUUCGGGUUGUAAACCCCUUUCAGGAGGGACGAAGGUUCACCGGUGAAUAGCCGUGUGGAUUGACGGUACCUCCAGAAGAAGCUCCGGCUAACUACGUGCCAGCAGCCGCGGUAAUACGAAGGGGGCUAGCGUUGCUCGGAAUUACUGGGCGUAAAGGGCGCGUAGGCGGAUAUCUAAGUUGGGGGUGAAAUCCCGGGGCUCAACCUCGGAAUUGCCUUCAAAACUGGAUAUCUUGAGUUCGGGAGAGGUGAGUGGAACUCCGAGUGUAGAGGUGAAAUUCGUAGAUAUUCGGAAGAACACCAG